AUUGAACGCUGGCGGCAUGCCUUACACAUGCAAGUCGAACGGCAGCACGGGGGCAACCCUGGUGGCGAGUGGCGAACGGGUGAGUAACGCAUCGGAAUGUACCCAGUAGUGGGGGAUAACUAGUCGAAAGAUUAGCUAAUACCGCAUACGCACUACGGUGGAAAGCGGGGGAUCGCAAGACCUCGCGCUAUUGGAGCAGCCGAUGUCCGAUUAGGUAGUUGGUGGGGUAAAGGCCUACCAAGCCUGCGAUCGGUAACUGGUCUGAGAGGACGACCAGUCACACUGGGACUGAGACACGGCCCAGACUCCUACGGGAGGCAGCAGUGGGGAAUUUUGGACAAUGGGGGCAACCCUGAUCCAGCAAUGCCGCGUGUGUGACGAAGGCCUUCGGGUUGUAAAGCACUUUUGGCGGGAACGAAACGGCGCUUGCUAAUACCAGGCGCCACUGACGGUACCCGCAGAAUAAGCACCGGCUAACUACGUGCCAGCAGCCGCUGUAA
rnacentral:rRNA from 1 species